rnacentral:rRNA from 1 species
UACGGAGGGAGCUAGCGUUGUUCGGAAUUACUGGGCGUAAAGCGCGCGUAGGCGGUAUAUCAAGUCAGGGGUGAAAUCCCGGGGCUCAACCCCGGAACUGCCUUUGAUACUGGAAGUCUUGAGUUCGAGAGAGGUGAGUGGAAUUCCGAGUGUAGAGGUGAAAUUCGUAGAUAUUCGGAGGAACACCAGUGGCGAAGGCGGCUCACUGGCUCGAUACUGACGCUGAGGUGCGAAAGCGUGGGGAGCAAACAGG